rfam:Stegodyphus mimosarum contig80260, whole genome shotgun sequence.
GCCUACGUGGUGUAGUAGUCAGCACACUCGACAUGUAACCGAGAGGUCCGUGGUUCGAUUCCCGGCGAAGGUU